AAUUUCUUUCGUCGCCAGGUGUUGAAAGAAGCUUUGUCUAUUUCUUCCGCGUUCGUGUCCGUAGGAGGAGUACCGGUCGUAUCUUGGGGCGGUGUUUCCGAUUAAUUCCGCACGAAAGACGGAAAUACGCCUUAGGAGAUUUUAUUUAUUUAAUCAUAAAAUUAAUUAGAUUUUAUCACAAUCGGAUUAUUCGUUGCGGGUUUUCCCCAACGGACCAAG
rnacentral:lncRNA from 1 species